UCCCUGGUGGUCCAGUGGCUAAGACUCUGUGCUCUGAAUAUAGGGGGCCAGGUUCGAUCCCUGGUCAAGGAA
rnacentral:tRNA from 1 species